rnacentral:rRNA from 1 species
GACGAACGCUGGCGGCGUGCUUAACACAUGCAAGUCGAACGGAAAGGCCCUGCUUUUGUGGGGUGCUUGAGUGGCGAACGGGUGAGUAACACGUGAGUAACCUGCCCUUGACUUUGGGAUAACUUCAGGAAACUGGGACUAAUACCGGGUAGGAGCUCCUGCUGCAUGGUGGGGGUUGGAAAGUUUCGGCGGUUGGGGAUGGACUCGCGGCUUAUCAGCUUGUUGGUGGGGUAGUGGCUUACCAAGGCUUUGACGGGUAGCCGGCCUGAGAGGGUGACCGGCCACAUUGGGACUGAGAUACGGCCCAGACUCCUACGGGAGGCAGCAGUGGGGAAUAUUGCACAAUGGGCGGAAGCCUGAUGCAGCAACGCCGCGUGCGGGAUGACGGCCUUCGGGUUGUAAACCGCUUUCGCCUGUGACGAAGCGUGAGUGACGGUAAUGGGUAAAGAAGCACCGGCUAACUACGUG